UGGGGAAUAUUGGACAAUGGGGGGAACCCUGAUCCAGCCAUGCCGCGUGUGUGAAGAAGGCCUUUUGGUUGUAAAGCACUUUAAGCGAGGAGGAGGCUACCGAGAUUAAUACUCUUGGAUAGUGGACGUUACUCGCAGAAUAAGCACCGGCUAAUUCUGUGUCAGCAGCCGCGGUAAUACAGAGGGUGCAAGCGUUAAUCGGAUUUAUUGUGCGUAAAGCGCGCGGAGGUGGACAAUUAAGUCAAAUGUGAAAUCACCGAGCUUAACUGGGGAAUUGCAUUCGAUACUGGUUGGCUAGAGUAGGGGAGAAGAUGGUAGAAUUCCAGGUGUAGCAGUGAAAUGCGUAGAGAUCUGGAGGAAUACCGAUGGCGAAGGCAGCCAUCUGGCCUAAUACAAACACUGAGGUGCGAAAGCAUGGGGAGCAAACAGG
rnacentral:rRNA from 1 species